GAGUGCAAGAUUUUCUUGUCCAGUUAUUUAAUUAUUUAUUAUAUUCUAUAUUUAUAUUUGCCGCUCAAGGCGACAACUUAAUUAUUAUGAUUAUUGUUUGACUGUGAUGGCGUCGUUUUCGCGCGCAGCCGAGCUGCAUAUACCACACUCUCCGACUCGCUCGCUGUGACUCUCACUUGUUGCUUGGACACUUGUCUGUUUUGUGUAUUACUACGUAGUUACAACUCAAGCAUCUUUAUUAAUAUUAUUAACUUAAUAAUACGUAUAUUAUUUGAUAUCAAAGAUUAUUUAGAAGUUGUUUAUAUUUAUUAGAAGAAUAAAUAAACCUAGAUUCAGUUUAACAUAAACCUUGUGUUUCACUUUAUUCAAUAAACCUAAGAGGUUAUUGGGCUCCAGUGCACGCUUCCACUGCGUACGUGAUUGAUUUAUUGAAAAUAAAUUGAGUGAAGUGAUUGACCACAAGAUGUCAGAGUCAGAUAAAAAGCUUACACUGGUUGAUUACGACAGUGAGGGAAGUUUCGAGAAAAUUGAAGAUUCUGGAAAUGCUGAAAAGGACCCAGCAUUGCAGAUUAAGACUGAGAAAACUGAAGACACGCUCUACAGUUUGUCUCAAUUCCACAAAGGUUUAUUGCAACAAACAAAAGGCAAUCCAGAUUCAUCAACGAAAUCUAGUGACAUUAAAGAUGUAAAAGAUUCACUUAAAAGGAUGAACAACUUCUCAACUCCUGUCAAACCAGGUCAAUCGACGAGUACAGAUGAUGGUACAGAUGACCGUAAGAAUGAAAGUAAAGAUGAUGAUACUAAAGAUGAUGAUGAUUUUAAAGACAAGAGUGAAAAUACCAAGAUUAAAAUUAGAAGCAGCAAAAAGAUGUUAAUGCUUGGUAAUAAAGAUUUAGAAGAUAUGAAGAGGUUGAUGCUGGAGUCAAACAAGCAGACUCAAGAAAUAGCAACGUCAAUUGCAAGAACAGCUAGGAGACUCGAGGAAGUCUCUGCUGCAAUGUUAGAUGCCCUAAAGGUGAUGACAAAAGGGUAUAAAGCAGAGUUAGAUCGCGAAAAGACUAAAGCGGAAACAGCAAAGUUAGAAGCAGAAAAGAAGACCGGAGAUGGAGAUGAUACUGUUAAAGCACAGACAGCCAAAUUUGACAGUAAAACAAGAUGUUAUAGAUGUGCUAAGACUGGACAUAGAAUCGAGGACUGUCCACUGUCAAAAGAUUUGUGGUUUUGCUACUUUUGCCAGGACAUUAAGAAACACAAAGGUGCAGAAUGCAAGGAAGGAAGACUCACAAAAUUAUAACAAGAACGAUCAACAGUCAGCUCAAAAUGCACACAACAACAGAAGUGCAAAAAGAGUGACUGACGAAAGAAAAGAAAAACCGACUGACAGAAAGAAGUAGAGCAGUGGAAGCUGGAUACAA
rnacentral:misc_RNA from 1 species